rnacentral:rRNA from 1 species
GACGAACGCUGGCGGCGUGCCUAAUACAUGCAAGUUGAGCGCUGAAGGUUGGUACUUGUACCAACUGGAUGAGCAGCGAACGGGUGAGUAACGCGUGGGGAAUCUGCCUUUGAGCGGGGGACAACAUUUGGAAACGAAUGCUAAUACCGCAUAAAAACUUUAAACACAAGUUUUAAGUUUGAAAGAUGCAAUUGCAUCACUCAAAGAUGAUCCCGCGUUGUAUUAGCUAGUUGGUGAGGUAAAGGCUCACCAAGGCGAUGAUACAUAGCCGACCUGAGAGGGUGAUCGGCGCCACUGUGACGGUGACACGGCUCAUAUUCCUACGGGAUGCAGCAGUACGGAAACUUCGGGCAACGACGAAGGGCUGGACGACGAAGGCGGUCUGAGUGAUGAACCAUUUCGGAGUGGAAAUGUUAGUUGGUAUGGAAGAAAGUUGGUGAGAGUGGAAAGCUCAUAAAGUGACGGUAACGACGCAGAGAGGAACGGCUAACUACGUG